AUAUAAACUCAAAACAUUUUAUCUUAAUACUACCCCUCAAGCUAAAGCUUACUAAGCUUAUAAGCUUGUUACAAAAUUAACCCAGAAAAUUAAACUAAAUCAACUAAUAUCAUAACCAAGAGCCACAAAUAGUACCAAAAGAGGAACCUUCAGAGAUACAAGAGAAUCAAAUCAAACCAAUCUAACAUCCAUUUCAUCCAAUUCAGUCCAAGCUAACCAAAUCCAAACCAAUCCAACAAAUCCAAACUUUACCAAACCAAAUUGUUCCAAUCCAAACUGAAC
rnacentral:lncRNA from 1 species